CUGGCUCAGGAUGAACGCUAGCGAUAGGCCUAACACAUGCAAGUCGAGGGGCAUCACAUGAGGUAGCAAUACUGAUGGUGGCGACCGGCGCACGGGUGAGUAACACGUAUGCAACCUGCCUUCAACAAGGGCAUAACCCGUUGAAAGACGGACUAAUUCCCUAUGACACAGGGGUCCCGCAUGGGGAUAUUUGUUAAAGAUUAAUCGGUUGGAGAUGGGCAUGCGUUCCAUUAGCUUGUUGGCGGGGUAACGGCCCACCAAGGCAACGAUGGAUAGGGGAACUGAGAGGUUUAUCCCCCACACUGGUACUGAGACACGGACCAGACUCCUACGGGAGGCAGCAGUGAGGAAUAUUGGUCAAUGGGCGCAAGCCUGAACCAGCCACGUCCGCGUGAAGGAAGACGGCCCUACGGGUUGUAAACUUCUUUUGCAAGGGAAUAAAGUUGGCCACGCGUGGCCUUUUGCAUGUACCUUGCGAAUAAGGAUCGGCUAACUCCGUGCCAGCCGCAGC
rnacentral:rRNA from 1 species